UUGGCAUCAGACGCUGGUCUCUCCUGGCCAGCCCUGAGGGACGUGGAAAUGGCAGUUUUUAUUAUUAUUUUCACUGCGUGUCUUUUCCAGCGCAGGGUGCUUCUGUAAGCCCUGCUUGGAAUCUUCAGCCUCUCCAAGACUGCAGUCCUCCCUUCAGCAGUGACCUGGAGACCUGCUGGGGCUCAGCGGGGUACAUGGGCCUUCCCCAGGAACCCAGGAGGGGCCACGUGCCCCCAUGCACCCCACGCACGUCCAGGUGGACCCUGGGCCAUUCUCUCCCACUGCAGACUCACUCAGGGACUUCAGAGCGGAAAGGCGUUCAGGCCUCCAGGGGAGAGGACAGAGGCAGGCGCCUACCAGGCUGAACCCAAGGGCUUCCUGGCUAUUUUCUUAAAUAUGCCUUCUCUCUCCUCUCCCCCAGGGAGAGCCAGGCCGUGCCUUCUGGAUGACUCACUCCAAGAUCCAUCCCCUGGGGUGCUGGCCAAAUGGCUCUCAGCAGCCACCAAAACAAAGCCUCCUUUUCCAACAUUGACCAAUGCCUGCCAUGGCUGAUUUCCAGCCUCCAGUGACUGAAGAACCAGCUCACAGACUGCCAGCCUGUUUCCCCAUCCGCUCUCGUGAGCUGCACGCCCGGGUUAAUUCCGCCUGAGCCAAGCCCUGCUGUCUUUCUCUCGGACAUCUGGUGACCAGAUGUGGAGGUCCUGUCCCCCCACCUCUGGACUCCCACUCUCCGCCUGUCUGUGCAGAGGGGAAGCACCACACCUGCCUCCCAGGCUGGGGGCACCCGUAGAGCACCUGCAGGAUUCCUCAGCUUCUUCUCUGGGGGAAUGUGGAGAGAAACCUGGAGGAGAGUGAUGGAAGCCCAGGCGCAGACUCACCCCUGCUGUCCAGGGGCCCAGAUGAAGCGCUGCUGAGGUGCUGCCGGAGCAGGACCAAGUUGGGGCUUGAACCCGCUGGCCGUGCCUGGUCCCUACUCCAGCUCUGCAGCCCAGCGCAUGGUGCCGGAGAGCUGGGGCCCGAGACUUGGCUUUGCGAGGCUGCACGUGCCCCUGGAGCUGGCCUUACCUGGGGCUUCAGCUUGGCACUCGGAGGUGAAGGUGGUGAAGGUGAGGAUGUGUGUUCAUCGGUGCCGCGACUGAGUCACCCCGGCUGGGACAGGACUAGGGGAUGAAGGAGCCAUCACAACCUGGAAGUGAUCUUCAGGGAUAGAGAGGCAACAUCUCAAGCCACCCCCUGUCUGCUUAAGGGGAAAGAAGAGAGAAGAGGCAGAUGACAAGAGUUUUUUUCCUUUCAAUAUAAUGCUGAUUAAAUUUCAGUGACCUGCUAGCCGAUCGAGGAGUUUUCACACUCUGACCUGGAACCUGAGCUCCCCAUUGUGGAAACAGCUGUGUUCCCACUUCCACUUCCCUCAGUCCCCGCUCGAGGACAAGAAGCUGCCACAAGGUUCAAAGUCAAGGUUCAGGGAGACACGCCUGGGAGACACUUGUCCCCAAGUCUCCCUGGCUGCUCUUUCUGUCUAGGAGUGUCCCACCCCGCGACCCUGUCACACAGCUUCCCCUUUUGGGGACAGCCCAGCGCAGGUCCACUUUCCCUGGCUUCCCUCUUCCUUCUGGGGCAGGAGCGGCUCUCUCACCUGUGGCCGGCCUGCUUCCGCCUCCUGCACCGGAAUGGGACCUGGUCACCCACUUCUUCCUCCUGUGCUUCUGGAGUCUGGUUCUCAGGUCGCCUACCCCAGAGGCACGAGCAGGUCCUGUAGGCCCCAGGCAUCUGCACCUGGACUGGUCUCAUGUCUGUGGUGACUAGGAUAACAGGUGGAUGAGUGGUGAUGGUCCCCCUGGGUGGUGAACGGCUUCAUUCCUGGCACCAUAUUUUAGUGAUUUCUUUAUCCCCAGGGCUGGUGCUCGACACACAGUGUCAGGGUUGAACUGUGUGCCCCCAAGUCCUUAUGUUGAAGUUUUAGCCCCAAGUACCCUAGAAUGAGACAUUAUUUGGAGACAAGGUCUUUACAGAGGAAACCAAUUGAAAAGGAGGUCUUGAGUGGGGUGUGGUGGUGCUCACCUGUAAUCCUAGCUGCUUGGGAGGCUGAGGCCCUUGGUGUCUACGAGGAAUUGGUUCCAGAACUCUCCGCAGUUCUUAUAUAAAAUGGUGUAGCUUUGCAUGAAACCUACACACAUUUCCGGAUCACCUGUGAAACCUAGUAAAAUGUAAAUUACAUGUAAAUAGCAGUUAUACUGUGCUGUUUUGGGAAUAAUGAUGAGGAAAACAUCUGAACACAUUCAGUACAGAUGCAUUUUUUUAAUGCUUUGCAAUUGCAGAUGCAGAGCUGGGAUGGAGGGCCAAGUGUAUUUGUUUUAAAUAGUAUCUUUUCUUUUAUGAUUUCCUUCCCUUCUCUUCUGGCCUCCCUGGAGUGUCCCUCAUUCUCUCUAUCGAGCAGACAGCUUGCUCUUCAGGAUGACAAGAAGCGUGUAAGGUUUUGGGAUGCUAAAGAAGCAUGUGAAGCACCAUGAGGCUGAGCCUCCAGCUUGGGCUACGGAGCCUGGAGCAGGCGAAGUGGGGCCUGCGAACGUGUGCUGAUCUGCGGGAAUCCAGGGGAGGGGCUGCCUCCUCCAGGGAGGCUGAGGGUCCUCUAGAUCUUGGCAGGUUGGAUGCUUUAGCAAGGCUGGGGACAUUCUGGCUGUGAGGAUGUUACGAGCCAAGUCUGAGGGCAGCUGUGUGUCUUGGGCUCCCUGCUGGGGAUGAUGGGGUGAUGGUGGGAGACAUAGAGAUGGAGACAAGGUCCCCCAAGGGGCACCACACAGGCAGUGAGAAGCAAUCAGGUGUCAGCCUGGAGGUGAUGCCCGGAACCUUCUAGAAGGUGGACUGGGUGGUAGUGUCCACAGGGUCAAGAGACAGGAGAGAGAGAAUAGAGAUGCACAAAAGAGGAACCCAGAUCCCAGGAGCUGGCUGGACACACAGGCCUGAAGGAGGGGAAGGGCAAAGGGACCCUACCAGGCCCCCAGCAUUCCGUCUGUUUGCUUGGUACUGGGGACCAAACCCAGGGGCGCUUUACCACUGAGCUAUAGCCCCAGUCUUUUUUGUGUUUUUGUUUUGAGGCAGGGUCUCACUAAAUGCUAAGCCUGGCCUGGAACUUGAGAGCCUCCUGCCUCUGCCUCUGGAGUCCCUGGGAUUAAAGCUGGGCACCACCACAACUGGCUAACGCCCUGCACUCUUGACCAAGCUUGACGUGGACUGCACAUGGACUCUUACAAGAGUUUGAGGCCCGUAGGCACUAGUGACGGCAUUUUAAAAGCCACCUCCUGGUUUUAAAAUGAACAGAGGCGAUGUUCCAUGCACAGUGACGACUAUUUUGGCUGAUGUGUGUGACUCAGGUCACUGAAGGACAGUGUGACGAGUGCCUCAGAGCAGACACUGCCUCUUUGACCAUGUUUCUCACGGACAAUCUGCUGGGAGGGGAGCAGCUGCCAUCUCUUGAGGACACUCCAGCUGCCCGCGUGGAGAGGUCCACCUGUGAAGAACUGGAGCCCCUGCCAACAUCCAGGAAGAGCCAGGCUGGAGGGGCUUCUCCUGGCCCGGCCAGCCUUCAGGGGAUUGCUGUGACCCAAAGAGACACCUGGGUCUAGAAACACCCAGCAAAGUCCCUCCCGCAGUCCUAACUCUGUGAGACAAACCUUUAUUGUUGUUGAGGCUUCCAAGCUUCGGAGUAAUCUGACACAGCAAUGGACAGAAAAUAGUCCCCGCCGGCUCCUUAUGCCACUCCUCCUUGGCGUGUGCCAGGAUUCCCGAGAGUAUGGUCUUCUCCUGAGGUCCCUUCACUGACUUGUAUGAGGCUGUUUCUUCUCUUGUCAGUCUCUUUUGGGUAAGGAUGAGCUCCUGAGGCCAACAUCUGGCUUGUCCUUGGGACCUUCCUGUUUAUUCAGGGGCGUGGUUGACAGUAGCAGCCAGCACUGACGUGGUUCUGGCUCAGGCCAGGCACAUUCUCAGACUUUACACACUUCUUCCCACACACAUCUGUGAGGUAGGCCCUGCCAUCUAUGAAACUGAGGCACAGAGGAGUCCAGUCACGUGUCUCAGGACACACAGUGAGCAAGGAGCAGGGCUGGUGACCUCCAACAGCUGGGCUCCAGAGUUCCUGCUAUGGUCACCCUCUGCCGACUGAUCCCAACAGUGUUUCUUGUUAAGGGAAUAAAAGAUGUCAGGCAGGUGAGGGGCUCAAGAGCUGAGAAAAAAGAUUUAUCAGAAGAAGAAAAGUAAAUCAGGGAAGGGACACAUGGACAAGCUGGACACAUGGACAAGCUGAAGUCUCAGAGAAACAGGGGCUUCAUCUUGCCUAGAAGAAUAAUUUCAGAGUCAGCUUUAUCUUACUGUAACAAAACCUGAGACAAUCAACUUAUCAAGAAAAAAGGUUUAUUUUGGGCUUAUGGUUUUGGAGGCUUUAGUCCAUGAAUGGCUGGUCCUGAGGCUUUGGGCCUGCGGUGGCACCUCAAGGCAGAGCAAAACCAUUUACCUCACAGUGGGAAGCAAAAAAAAGGAAGUCCCCUUCAAAGGCACGCCCCCAAUGACCUGAAGACCUCUCUCUAGGUCCCGCCUCUUAAAGGCUCUACCUCUUCCCAACAGUGCCUCUCUGGGGAAAAGACUUUAGCACAUGGGCCCUUAUAGAACCUUCCAGAUCCAAACAAUAGCAUUUUCCAAAUCAGUUGGGAUUUUAUCUCUAGGAAAUACAGAUAAGGUAGAUCUUUGGAUUGGGAAGUCAGGAAAGUAUGAGAUAAAAUAGAAAUGACCUGAAGGAAAUCUUCCUGUCCACCUAAGUCUGGCCACAAAGCUGCUGGUGGGUCAGCCUGCCCAGCACUCCCUUAUGGGGCUUUCACCUCUGUGUGUCCAUCAACUUGGAGAUGGCCAAGUGCGUGCAUGGAGGGUGUCUCAGGGCGCCCCCUGGUGCUCGCUGAGGACAUCUCAGGACGCCCUUCUGCCGUGGUCCUGGUAAUGGCAGGCAGCAGGGGCGGCGCCCAGGGCACAGGGUGAACCUCAGAUCUGCAGUGUCAGCAGAGGAGUUCACAAGGAGGACAGAAAAGCCACCGCGGGCUCAGUAAGGUCAAAGACAGCCAGCUGUUUGCAGAGUCUGAGUUCUUCCGGGAUUUGGUGGCUUUAUAGUCACCUCUUAGAACAUUUGGGAGAGGCAUCUGAGUAAAGAGAUGCCUCACCACUGUGGCAGGCACCGUCCAUCUGAGGAGGCCCAAACAGGACAAAGGACAGAGGGGGAGCAAACGCUCCCUCUGCUUCAGCUGUGACAGUGGCCUUUUACCCAAAGGCCUCGGGGCUUGACCUGAGUCACAUCACCAGCCUUCCUGGUCUCAGCUCGCAGACUACAGCUGGUGACAUCUCUGUCCCCAUAACCGUGUGGGCCAGUUCCCAUAAUA